GGGACUUCAGGAGCCUGAUCGAGACGGUUCGCAGCACGACGCCCGCAGCGACGAUCGUCGUGUCAGGACCACUGCCCACGUAUCGACGAGGACACGAAAGGUUCAGUAGACUUUUUGCUUUAAAUGAAUGGUUGUUGUCAUGGUGUAAAGAACAGAAACUGCUAUUUGUUAAUAACUGGAAUCUUUUCUGGGAGCGUCCUAGACUGUUUCGCGCUGAUGGAUUACACCCCAGUCGAGUCGGAGCGGAGCUUCUCUCUGACAACAUCUCCAGGACACUUCGCUCCAUGUGACUAGAUUUACACAAGCUCCAGUCUGGAUCCAGAACACCUGAGAAGAGAUGAUGCUGACCCUCAGAGGACCCCAGAUGAUGCUAACCCUGAAUGAACAAACAGAACUAACAAUUAUUCCUAAUUGUGUGACUUAAUCAUAUAAUAACUUAAUAAUAUUGAUAGUUCAUCGUCUAGCUGACUACGUCUUGUAUUAUUAUAAUUUUUUAGUUUUUCUAAAAUCCUGUCAAAUGUGCACAAACUACUAGCUACUACUAAAUAUUGUAGAAACAUAAUUUUCUGUAAAGUUGCUUUGUAACGAUUUGUUUUGUAAAAAGCGCUAUACAAAUAAACUUGAAUUGAAUUGAA